rnacentral:misc_RNA from 1 species
AUUAUCUUUAUCCCUUACCUUGGCUGGCCACUUUCCCUCAUUUUCCUUCCUUCUUUUCUUACUUCUUUAACAACCAAUUCUCUUCAAUUUGAAGAGAGAACCCCCAAGCAAAGACCUUGAAUCCUACAAAUUUUGAAGGCCCAAGUGAAGAAGUAAGGAAAAGUUGAAGAUUCAAGCUUGAGUAGGCUGAUUUCUUAAGGAACUAAGGGAGAGUUGAAGGAAGGAAAGGGUAGCAGCUGGUUUUCAUUAAGGUAACACAAGCAAGGAUAAAGGUUCAAUUUGGGAGUAGAGGCAAAUGAAGACUUUUGUUCAUGUUUGAGACACAUUCUUUUAUACACAUUUAGAUGAUUAUAUUGUACUAGGUUAUUUUGCGUUGUAAUGUAAUCCUUUAAAUGUGUAAAUUUUGAUGUUGUAAAGCACAUGGAUGCUACAAAACAAGUUUUGUAUCUUAUCAAAGUUUUUAUAAGUAAACAUUAGAAAGUUUCAAGCAUAUAAUGUAUAUUAAAUUGUGG